GAUGAACGCUAGCUACAGGCUCAACACACGCACGUCGCGCGACCGGCGAACGGGUGAGUAACACGUCUCCCACCCGCCAUUAACCCGGGGUUAGCCUUUCGAAAGAAAUAUUAAUAUCCGCUGUCAAGGAUGGGGAUGCGUUCAAGUUGGUUGUUGGUGAGGUAACGGCUCACCAAGCCUUCGAUGGGUAGGGGUUCUGAGAGGAAGGUCCCCCACAUUGGAACUGGGACACGGUCCAAACGCCUACGGGAGGCAGCAGUGAGGAAUAUUGGUCAAUGGGCGUUAGCCUGAACCAGCCAAGUAUCGUGAAGGAUGAAGGCUUAUGGGUCGUAAACUUCUUUUAUAUAAGAAUAUGUAUUAUAUGAAUAAGGAUCGGCUAGCUCCGUGCCAGCAGCCGCGGUAAUUC
rnacentral:rRNA from 1 species